CAGUAGCCGCGGUAAUGCGUAGGUGGCAAGCGUUGUCCGGAAUUAUUGGGCGUAAAGGGCUCGCAGGCGGAUUCUUAAGUCUGAUGUGAAAGCCCCCGGCUCAACCGGGGAGGGUCAUUGGAAACUGGGAAACUUGGGUGCAGAAGAGGAGAGUGGAAUUCCACGUGUAGCGGUGAAAUGCGUAGAGAUGUGGAGGAACACCAGUGGCGAAGGCGACUCUCUGGUCUGUAACUGACGCUGAGGAGCGAAAGCGUGGGGAGCGAACAGGAUUAGAUACCCCGGUAGUCCCUGUCUCUUAUAA
rnacentral:rRNA from 1 species